rnacentral:rRNA from 1 species
CCUACGGGCGGCAGCAGUGGGGAAUAUUGCACAAUGGGCGCAAGCCUGAUGCAGCCAUGCCGCGUGUGUGAAGAAGGCCUUCGGGUUGUAAAGCACUUUCAGCGGGGAGGAAGGCGUUAAGGUUAAUAACCUUGGCGAUUGACGUUACCCGCAGAAGAAGCACCGGCUAACUCCGUGCCAGCAGCCGCGGUAAUACGGAGGGUGCAAGCGUUAAUCGGAAUUACUGGGCGUAAAGCGCACGCAGGCGGUCUGUCAAGUCGGAUGUGGAAUCCCCGGGCUCAACCUGGGAACUGCAUUCGAAACUGGCAGGCUAGAGUCUUGUAGAGGGGGGUAAAAUUCCAGGUGUAGCGGUGAAAUGCGUAGAGAUCUGGAGGAAUACCGGUGGCGAAGGCGGCCCCCUGGACAAAGACUGACGCUCAGGUGCGAAAGCGUGGGGAGCAAACAGGAUUAGAUACCCGGGUAGUC